UAAUACGUAGGUGGCAAGCGUUGUCCGGAAUUACUGGGUGUAAAGGGAGCGUAGGCGGGAAAGCAAGUUGAAUGUUUAAACUAUCGGCUCAACCGAUAAUCGCGUUCAAAACUGUUUUUCUUGAGUGAAGUAGAGGUAGGCGGAAUUCCUAGUGUAGCGGUGAAAUGCGUAGAUAUUAGGAGGAACACCAGUGGCGAAGGCGGCCUACUGGGCUUUAACUGACGCUGAGGCUCGAAAGCGUGGGUAGCAAACAGGAUUAGAUACCCUGGUAGUCCACGCCGUAAACGAUGAUUACUAGGUGUGGGGGGAUCAACCCUUCCGUGCCGCAGCAAACGCAAUAAGUAAUCCACCUGGGGAGUACGACCGCAAGGUUGAAACUCAAAGGAAUUGACGGGGACCCGCACAAGCAGUGGAGUAUGUGGUUUAAUUCGAAGCAACGCGAAGAACCUUACCAGGUCUUGACAUCCAACGAACUCGCUAGAGAUAGCAAGGUGCCCUUCGGGGAGCGUUGAGACAGGUGGUGCAUGGUUGUCGUCAGCUCGUGUCGUGAGAUGUUGGGUUAAGUCCCGCAACGAGCGCAACCCUUACUGAUAGUUGCUACGCAAGAGCACUCUAUCGGGACUGCCGUUGACAAAACGGAGGAAGGUGGGGAUGACGUCAAAUCAUCAUGCCCCUUAUGACCUGGGCUACACACGUACUACAAUGGCUAUUAACAACGGGAAGCGAAGAGGUGACUCGGAGCCAAUCCAAAAAAAUAGUCUCAGUUCGGAUUGCAGGCUGCAACUCGCCUGCAUGAAGCCGGAAUUGCUAGUAAUCGCGGAUCAGCAUGCCGCGGUGAAUACGUUCCCGGGUCUUGUACACACCGCCCGUCACACCAUGAGAGUUGGGAACACCCGAA
rnacentral:rRNA from 1 species